AGUAAUACAUAAGUAACCUGCCCUAGACAGGGGGAUAACUAUUGGAAACGAUAGCUAAGACCGCAUAGGUACGGACACUGCAUGGUGACCGUAUUAAAAGUGCCUCAAAGCACUGGUAGAAGAUGGACUUAUGGCGCAUUAGCUGGUUGGCGGGGUAACGGCCCACCAAGGCGACGAUGCGUAGCCGACCUGAGAGGGUGACCGGCCACACUGGGACUGAGACACGGCCCAG
rnacentral:rRNA from 1 species